ensembl:lncRNA
UAAAACCAGCCAACUUCUUUAUUCUUACUAAUGCUGUCAAGAGAGUUUCAGGUUUUGAUACUGAAACCAGCACAUUCAAAGCCCCAAGUUUGGCCCUGAAGCUCGGACAUUCUCUGAGAAAAAUAAGUGAUAUUAUCAUGUGUCGUGCUCUCAUGGAAGAGGAUCAAGAGGCGAUCGAUUCAAUCAGGAGGUUUCACACACUUCAUGAAACAAAGUGGUCUGAAUUAGUUUCCCAUUCAGCCUUAUCAAACCUGAGUGAGGCAAAAUACAACAAGGUCGACAGCCUUCCACUGACCAGAGAUGUUCAGAAGCUGCAGUUAUAUCUUGGUCAGCAAGUGGAAUCGGCUAGGGAGAAACUAGGUGAUAACCCAACAGCAGGAACUUAUGCAGCACUAGCAAAGGUGAUCCUUUGUCAAGUGAUUUUGUUCAAUAGGAGGCGGGAAGGUGAAGUAGCACGUAUGACUGUCAAAAAUUUUGAAGAUCGUGACAUGUCCAAACUAAACGAUGACAUCAGCUCUGGGCUUACAGAAGUUGAGAAAAGGCUUUGCCAACAGUUUGCCAGAGUGGAACUGAAGGGGAAAAAAAGGACGAAAGGUGGCUGUGAUCCUGACUUCUGAUAUGACCGAUAACCUGUCACUCCUCGUUAGUAAGAGGAAAGAGUGCGGGGUAUCUGAAAACAAUAUGUACCUUUUCGCCAUUCCUUGUAGUGAUGGUCACUACAGAGGGCAGUUUGGUCAGUUUGCAGAUGCUUGCGGAGCUGAACAUCCUCAGAACCUCAGAUCAACUAACCUUCGCAAACAGAUUGCCACGAUAAGCCAAGUCAUGAACUUGAAAGAUAAUGAACUAGACCAGCUGGCCGAUUUCCUCGGCCAUGACAUUAGGGUCCAUAGAGAAUACUAUCGACUGCCCCAAUCAACAAUUCAGCUGGCUAAGAUCUCCAAGUUGCUCAUGGCCAUGGAGAAGGGAAGUGUGAAGGAUAUUCAAGGAAAAACUCUGGAUGAAAUUGGUGAUGACAUAGAUGGGAUGGCUACUGGAUCACAGCAACUCCCUGAUGCUUCCACAUUGCGAGAAAAAUCUAUCAAUGACAAUGAAGAAAUAUUAACUUCUGUGACUUCUGAUUUGCCUCACUUCUCCGAGACUGCAGCUCAAG